rnacentral:rRNA from 1 species
ACUGAGACACGGCCCAGACUCCUACGGGAGGCAGCAGUGGGGAAUAUUGCGCAAUGGGGGCAACCCUGACGCAGCAACGCCGCGUGCAGGAAGAAGGUCUUCGGAUUGUAAACUGCUGUCGCAAGGGAAGAAGACAGUGACGGUACCUUGUGAGAAAGUCACGGCUAACUACGUGCCAGCAGCCGCGGUAAUACGUAGGUGACAAGCGUUGUCCGGAUUUACUGGGUGUAAAGGGCGCGUAGGCGGACUGUCAAGUCAGUCGUGAAAUACCGGGGCUUAACCCCGGGGCUGCGAUUGAAACUGACAGCCUUGAGUAUCGGAGAGGAAAGCGGAAUUCCUAGUGUAGCGGUGAAAUGCGUAGAUAUUAGGAGGAACACCAGUGGCGAAGGCGGCUUUCUGGACGACAACUGACGCUGAGGCGCGAAAGUGUGGGGAGCAAACAGGAUUAGAUACCCUGGUAGUCCACACCGUAAACGAUGGGUACUAGGUGUAGGAGGUAUCGACCCCUUCUGUGCCGCAGUUAACACAAUAAGUAUCCCACCUGGGGAGUACGACCGCAAGGUUGAAACUCAAAGGAAUUGACGGGGGCCCGCACAAGCAGUGGAGUAUGUGGUUUAAUUCGAAGCAACGCGAAGAACCUUACCUGGGCUUGACAUCCCUGGAAUCGAGUAGAGAUACUUGAGUGCCUUCGGGAAUCAGGUGACAGGUGGUGCAUGGUUGUCGUCAGCUCGUGUCGUGAGAUGUUGGGUUAAGUCCCGCAACGAGCGCAACCCCUAUUGUCAGUUGCCAUCAUUAAGUUGGGCACUCUGGCGAGACAGCCGGUGACAAAUCGGAGGAAGGUGGGGACGACGUCAAAUCAUCAUGCCCCUUAUGCCCAGGGCUACACACGUACUACAAUGGCCGAUAACAAAGUGCAGCGAAACCGUGAGGUGGAGCGAAUCACAAAACUCGGUCUCAGUUCAGAUUGCAGGCUGCAACUCGCCUGCAUGAAGUUGGAAUUGCUAGUAAUCGCGGAUCAGAAUGCCGCGGUGAAUACGUUCCCGGGCCUUGUACACACCGCCCGUCACACCAUGAGAGUCGAUAACACCCGAAGCCUGUGAGCUAACCUUUUAGGAGGCAGCAGUCGAAGGUGGGGUUGAUGAUUGGGGUGAAGUCGUAACAAGGUAGCCGUAUCGGAAGGUGCGGCUG